CGACGUUAAGCUUGACGUCGUCGCCCUCACUGAGGGAGGCCUGCGCGUCAUCGGCCGGUGGGAUCCGAUCGGAGGCGCGAAUUUCACGCUACCUGGUGACUCUGCCGCACGUCGAGCGGUGAAAUCGAUGCGUAACUCGCAACUCAAAAUCCUGUCCAUUCUGUCGCCCCCUUUCGCCAUGAGGGCAG